AUGCACUAGGAGUUUACCUUUUUAUAGGUAUUAAAUGAAUGAGAAAAGGAGACAGUGAGAGAUCUGUGUACAAUAAGCCGAUGCUCUGGAUUAGAGUAAUGAAGGAAGCAUGGUACUGUGCACAGAGAUGGAACAAACAGGGUCCUCAUGUCUGCUUGCUUUGAUGCCCUUGUGGUUAUGAUUUUGCGGGCCUGGAUCCGACCUACAUUUUAA